rnacentral:rRNA from 2 species
GCAGCCUGAUCCAGCCAUGCCGCGUGGGUGAAGAAGGCCUUCGGGUUGUAAAGCCCUUUUGUUGGGAAAGAAAAGCAGUCGGUUAAUACCCGAUUGUUCUGACGGUACCCAAAGAAUAAGCACCGGCUAACUUCGUGCCAGCAGCCGCGGUAAUACGAAGGGUGCAAGCGUUACUCGGAAUUACUGGGCGUAAAGCGUGCGUAGGUGGUGGUUUAAGUCCGUUGUGAAAGCCCUGGGCUCAACCUGGGAAUUGCAGUGGAUACUGGGUCACUAGAGUGUGGUAGAGGGUAGCGGAAUUCCCGGUGUAGCAGUGAAAUGCGUAGAGAUCGGGAGGAACAUCUGUGGCGAAGGCGGCUACCUGGACCAACACUGACACUGAGGCACGAAAGCGUGGGGAGCAAACAGGAUUAGAUACCCUGGUAGUCCACGCCCUAAACGAUGCGAACUGGAUGUUGGGUGCAAUUUGGCACGCAGUAUCGAAGCUAACGCGUUAAGUUCGCCGCCUGGGGAGUACGGUCGCAAGACUGAAACUCAAAGGAAUUGACGGGGGCCCGCACAAGCGGUGGAGUAUGUGGUUUAAUUCGAUGCAACGCGAAGAACCUUACCUGGUCUUGACAUCCACGGAACUUUCCAGAGAU